rnacentral:rRNA from 1 species
UACGGGGGGGGGCAAGCGUUGUUCGGAAUUACUGGGCGUAAAGGGCGCGUAGGCGGCCUGCUAAGUCGGAUGUGAAAUCCCUCGGCUUAACCGAGGAACUGCAUCCGAUACUGGCGGGCUUGAAUCCGGGAGAGGGAUGUGGAAUUCCAGGUGUAGCGGUGAAAUGCGUAGAGAUCGGGAGGAACAUCAGUUGCGAAGGCGGCUCUCUGGACCGAGACUGACGCUAAGACGCGAAAGCGUGGGGAGCAAACAGG